rnacentral:rRNA from 1 species
UGACGCAGCGACGCCGCGUGAGGGAGGAAGGCCUUCGGGUUGUAAACCUCUUUCAGGAGGGACGAAGCUACUCGGGUGAAUAGGCCCAGAGGGUGACGGUACCUCCAGAAGAAGCCCCGGCUAACUACGUGCCAGCAGCCGCGGUAAUACGUAGGGGGCAAGCGUUGUCCGGAUUUACUGGGCGUAAAGCGCGUGUAGGCGGCCACGCAGGUCCGUUGUGAAAACUGGAGGCUCAACCUCCAGACGUCGACGGAAACCGUGUGGCUAGAGUCCGGAAGAGGAGAGUGGAAUUCCUGGUGUAGCGGUGAAAUGCGCAGAUAUCAGGAAGAACACCAAUGGCGAAGGCAGCUCUCUGGGACGGUACUGACGCUGAGACGCGAAAGCGUGGGGAGCGAACAGGAUUAGAUACCCUGGUAGUCCACGCCGUAAACGAUGGGUGCUAGGUGUGGGAGGUGUCGACUCCUUCCGUGCCGUAGCUAACGCAUUAAGCACCCCGCCUGGGGAGUACGGCCGCAAGGCUA